UUUUUGCGUGAGGGAUGGAAGCGACAUCCUUUUUGGGAGUUUCGGCGGCAAUGCUGCUGUAACUCCCAAAAAGAUACAGCGGACAGCCCGACCUGAA
rnacentral:sRNA from 1 species